GAAAAAAAAAAGAAAAUUGAAGAGACGCAGUCGGAGAACAAGAUUGAAACGACGGCUAAAGUUUGGAAAAGUUUGGAGGCAUUGAGGAAAGGAAAAGCAUUGGAGAACUAGCUUGCUUGACUUCGAAUCUUCGGUGGAGCGAGUGUAUCAGUGACUUCGACUUGCCCUCAGCUCUAGCCAGUCUCCAGCACAUCAGGUUCCAGGGUGAACUAUUCAUUCUAGCUCGUGUUGGAUUCUCUUGGUCAUGGCAUGAUGUCUUUAGUUUUCGGACAUAAACUAUUUAAUUCAUUUAUUUUG